UCUAGUGUGGUCAAGUGGUUUGAACGCUGGACUAUGACUCUGGAGGCCAGGGUUCAAAUCCCUGCUGGGCCUUAGAA